rnacentral:lncRNA from 1 species
AGUGGGAGGAUGUAGGGUCAGUGAGGAGGGUGUAGGGGUCAGUGAGGAGGAUGUAGGGUCAGUGUGGAGGAUGUAGGGUCAGUGUGGAGGAUGUAGGGUCAGUGAGGAGGAUGUAGGGUCAGUGAGGAGGGUGUUAGGGUCAGUGUGGAGGAUUGUAGGGUCAGUGUGGAGGAUGUAGGGUCAGUGAGGAGGAUGUAGGGUCAGUGAGGAGGAUGUAGGGUCAGUGAGGAGGAUGUAGGGUCAGUGAGGAGGAUGUAGGGUUCAGUGUGUGAGGAUGUAGGGUCAGUGUGGAGGAUGUAGGGUCAGUGUGGAGGAUGUAGGGUCAGUGAGGAGGAUGUAGGGUCAGUGUGUGGAGGAUGUAGGGUCAGUGUGUGGAGGAUGUAGGGUCAGUGAGGAGGAUGUAGGGUCAGUGUGGAGGAUGUAGGGUCAGUGUGUGAGGAUGUAGGGUCAGUGAGGAGGAUGUAGGGUCAGUGUGGAGGAUGUAGGGUCAGUGAGGAGGAUGUAGGGUCAGUGUGGAGGAUGUAGGGUCAGUGUGUGGAGGAUGAUGUAGGGUCAGUGUGUGGAGGAGGAUGUAGGGUCAGUGAGGAGGAUGUAGGGUCAGUGAGGAGAUGUAGGUCAGGUGGAGGAUGUAGGGUCAGUGUGGAGGAUGUAGGGUCAGUGAGGAGGAUGUAGGGUCAGUGUGGAGGAUGUAGGGUCAGUGUGGAGGAUGUAGGGUCAGUGAGGAGGAUGUAGGGUCAGUGAGGAGGAUGUAGGGUCAGUGUGGAGGAUGUAGGGUCAGUGUGGAGGAUGUAGGGUCAGUGAGGAGGAUGUAGGGUCAGUGUGGGAGGAUGUAGGGUCAGUGAGGAGGAUGUAGGGUCAGUGUGUGGAGGAUGUAGGGUCAGUGAGGAGGAUGUAGGGUCAGUGAGGAGGAUGUAGGG